rnacentral:lncRNA from 1 species
UAUGGUAUAGAGUAUGCUUUACAUACCUGACUGUCAACCUUCAAUACUAGUCCCAAAUGGACUUCCCAUCUUUUCAGAUUACUUAUCUACAAUGAACAUAUAUAGCAAUCUAGUAUUAGCAACCAAACGUCACAAUUCAAUUAUUUGAAUUCACCAAACUAGUGGUUAAGUAGUAAGCCUUAAUUACACCAUAAAGGGUGUCACUUUAACCCUCUUCUAC